rnacentral:rRNA from 1 species
UACGUAGGCAGCAAGCGUUGUUCGGAGUUACUGGGCGUAAAGGGUGCGUAGGUGGCCAACUAAGUCAGACGUGAAAUCCCUCAGCUUAACUGGGGAACUGCGUCUGAUACUGGAUGGCUUGAGUUUGGGAGAGGGAUGCGGAAUUCCAGGUGUAGCGGUGAAAUGCGUAGAUAUCUGGAGGAACACCGGUGGCGAAGGCGGCAUCCUGGACCAAUACUGACACUGAGGAGCGAAAGCCGGGGGAGCAAACGGG